UAAAGACGGCGAUCUUCUCUGUUAUCCAAUUCAAGCUGCUGAGCUAUUUUUAUUGAUGUUGAUAAGGAGUCAAUAUUCUUCUUCUGAAUACAAAUUCUGCAUUGACAAGUAAGGCUAUGAAUGCAUGUCAGAAAUCAGAAAUCCUUAUUAAGUUACAGAACUUUUAUUUACGCAAAUCGGUUCUGAUGAUUCGAGAGCAACUUCUAGUGAAUCAAGGUAAAAGAGGUCAGGGCCUGGAUCAGAAGUUACCUUUUUCACUGAAUUCUGAGAGCUACCAUACCUUGAUCUACAUACACUUCCUGCUUCACUGCAGAACAGUGACACUGAUCUAGUUGAUUUCUUUCUUUGUUUUCUGAACUUUUUGCAACCCCAAAAAAGGGCAAUUGCACACAAUGCAGUUGAAAUCCCAGCAGAAACAAGAACAGCUGCUAAAACUCUAGUACUACUUCCUCUUCUUUUUUCCCUUGCCUUGUGUGCAGAUGGGAUAAAGGGAUGGUGAUGAGAAUGUGGAUGAGAAUGUCGAUGAACUCGUGGCGCCGGAGAAGGAGCAGGAGCUUCAGGGGCAAUUGAUGGUGAUGGAGAAGGUGAAGGGGCUUCUGGAAAAUAUGCAAAAUCACCAUUUCUUGGACUGAACCUGCUUAGUCCAAGCAAAGUUCUGAACUUUUCCACAAUCAAGAUUUGCUUUCCUCCAGAGAUCUUUCUAAUUGGACUUUCUUUAAAGCCAUCAAUACUAUUCAAGUACUUUGCAGCAUUCAAUGAGACAUCCCUAACCAAAAUGUGAGUACAGCAGAAAGAUACAAGAAUGAAGGUGAUGAUAAAGAGAAAGUGUAAAAGAAUCCUAAAACCAUGAUGACCCAUUUUCUUGAAUACAAAAUCAUGAAAGAAAUCAUCAACCUUUAUGAAAUAUAAAUUCAACCCAACAUUCUUUUUUUUUUUUCUUUGUGAUUAAAAUUGUAGUGCACCAAAGAGAAAGACCAAAGUCUUUAUUGCUACUCCAAGGAACCCCUGACUGUGGCAGUUGUAGGUGUACUGGACCUUCUUUAUUUUCUUUCUCUGUUAUUACCUCUUUUCUCUCUCCAUUAAUUCUCCCUGCUGAAUACUAUUAAUAGUAGUACAUCAUUUCUCAUUA